rnacentral:lncRNA from 1 species
GGGCAACGAUCAGGGCAAAUCACUGCCCAAAUCAAAAUGACAGCAGAGGCAGACAGAAGCGCGGGAAGAGAGGAAAAUUUCAGAUUCAAAAGCAUUGCAUUCCUACCACACUUCAAACUCUUCACGACCAGUUCCAACUCAAUUCUAAGAGUCUCAAGAGAGUCUUCCACCCAAGAAAUUCCACUUACAACGAAAUUCAAAGGAAAAAAGGGGAAUCAAGACUACAAAGACCAAAUCAAAUUGGGAUUUCCAAGCCCUAAUUGAAUUGGGACUCUCCACCUAUAAAAUGGACAACAAUCAAAC